GACGAACGCUGGCGGCGUGCUUAACACAUGCAAGUCGAACGGAAAGGCCCUGCUUUUGUGGGGUGCUCGAGUGGCGAACGGGUGAGUAACACGUGAGUAACCUGCCCUUGACUUUGGGAUAACUUCAGGAAACUGGGGCUAAUACCGGAUAGGAGCUCCUGCUGCAUUGUGGGGGUUGGAAAGUUUCGGCGGUUGGGGAUGGACUCGCGGCUUAUCAGCUUGUUGGUGGGGGAGUGGCUUACCAAGGCUUUGACGGGUAGCCGGCCUGAGAGGGUGACCGGCCACAUUGGGACUGAGAUACGGCCCAGAAUCCUACGGGAGGCAGCAGUGGGGAAUAUUGCACAAUGGGCGGAAGCCUGAUGCAGCAACGCCGCGUGCGGGAUGAAGGCCUUCGGGUUGUAAACCGCUUUCGCCUGUGACGAAGCGUGAGUGACGGUAAUGGGUAAAGAAGCACCGGCUAACUACGUG
rnacentral:rRNA from 1 species